GAAUAUUGGACAAUGGGCGAAAGCCUGAUCCAGCCAUGCCGCGUGUGUGAAGAAGGUCUUCGGAUUGUAAAGCACUUUAAGUUGGGAGGAAGGGCAGUAAGCGAAUACCUUGCUGUUUUGACGUUACCGACAGAAUAAGCACAGGCUACCUCUGUGCCAGCCGCCGCGGUAAUACAGAGGGGGCAAGCGGUAAGCGGAAGUACUGGGCGUAAAGCGCGCGGAGGUGGUUCGUUAAGUUGGAUGUGAAAUCCCUGGGCUCAACCUGGGAACUGCAUCCAAAACUGGCGAGCUAGAGUAGGGCAGAGGGUGGUGGAAUUUCCUGUGUAGCGGUGAAAUGCGUAGAUAUAGGAAGGAACACCAGUGGGGAAGGCGACCACCUGGGCUCAUACUGACACUGAGGUGCGAAAGCGUGGGGAGCAAACAG
rnacentral:rRNA from 1 species